AUACCCUAUUAUAUUUAUCACUUUAAGGUAGUAUAAAUUUAUAUAAAAACCUAUAUAGUUUGGCGGCAUUUUAUCAUAUUAGAGGAACCUGUCUCUUAAUCGUAACUCCACGCUAUCUCUUACUUUUAUUUAAAUCUUAUAUACCGCCAUCUUAAGAAUUAUUUUAAAAAAUUUCUCCAAAUAUAAAAAUAAAAAGUUAGGUAAAGGUGUAGACUAUUUAGAAGUUGAGAUGUGUUACUUUAAAUUAAUAUUUAAAGAUAAUUUCUUAAAAAUUAAAUGGAAAAAGGAUUUAAAAGUAAAAUUUAACUAAUAAUUAAAAUUGAAAAUGAUAACAAAUGUGC
rnacentral:rRNA from 1 species